AGACUCCUCCCUCAGAAUGGAAUUUCUUAUCCUGGCUGGCCUUUUGAGCACUGCCACUGCUCUGCCCAUCCCUCUCGAACAAUCUGGAGGCAGUUCCAGUGAUCAGAGAUUUAGCUUUUACCCACCCCCAGGACUACCAUUUUUUCCUCAGAUCCCAUUUUUCCCACCUCCCCAACUUCCCCCAAUUCCAAUUCCUCUUCCUUUUCCAUAUAAUCCAAAUCAGG